rnacentral:ncRNA from 1 species
CAACCUCAACUCAUAUGGGACUACCCCCUGAAUUUAAGCAUAUUAAUUAGGGGAGGAAAAGAAACUAACAAGGAUUUUCUUAGUAGCGGCGAGCGAAAAGAAAUCAGUUCAGCACUAAGUCACUUUGUCUAUAUGGCAAAUGUGAGAUGCAGUGUACGGAACAUCAACAUUCUAGUAUGAGAAGUUAACGAUUUAAGUCCUUCUUAAAUGAGGCCAGUUACCCAUAGAGGGUGCCAGGCCCGUAUAACGUUAAUGAUUACUAGAUGGUGUUUCCAAAGAGUCGUGCUGCUUGAUAGUGCAGCGCUAAGUGGGUGGUAAACUCCAUCUAAAACUAAAUAUAACCAUGAGACCGAUAGUAAACAAGUACCGUGAGGGAAAGUUGAAAAGAACUCUGAAUAGAGAGUUAAAUAGUACGUGAAACUGCUUAGAGGUUAAGCCCGAUGAACCUGAAUAUCCGUUAUGGAAAAUUCAUCAUUAGAAUUGUAAUAUUUUAAACAAUAUUAUAAUAAUAGUGUGCAUUUUUUCCAUAUAAGGACAUUGUAAUCUAUUAGCAUAAAUAUUUAUCAUAAAAUUAUGUCUGAUUGCUUAUUUGAAUUAUAUGCUUGGCAUUUUAACAUAAAAUAAAAGAUAUAAAUUUGAUAAAGUGCUGAUAGAUUUAUAUGAUUACAGUGCGUUAAUUUUUCGGAAUUAUAUAAUGGCAUAAUUAUCAUUGAUAUUUGUGUUUAUUAUAUGCAUUUGUAUGAUUAACAAUGCGAAAGAUUCAGGAUACCUUCGGGA